rnacentral:rRNA from 1 species
AGUGAACGCUGGCGGUAGGCCUAACACAUGCAAGUCGAACGGCAGCACAGUAAGAGCUUGCUCUUACGGGUGGCGAGUGGCGGGCGGGUGAGGAAUACAUCGGAAUCUACUUUUUCGUGGGGGAUAACGUAGGGAAACUUACGCUAAUACCGCAUACGACCUACGGGUGAAAGCAGGGGAUCUUCGGACCUUGCGCGAUUGAAUGAGCCGAUGUCGGAUUAGCUAGUUGGCGGGGUAAAGGCCCACCAAGGCGACGAUCCGUAGCUGGUCUGAGAGGAUGAUCAGCCACACUGGAACUGAGACACGGUCCAGACUCCUACGGGAGGCAGCAGUGGGGAAUAUUGGACAAUGGGCGCAAGCCUGAUCCAGCCAUACCACGUGGGUGAAGAAGGCCUUCGGGUUGUAAAGCCCUUUUGUUGGGAAAGAAAAGCAGCAGGUUAAUACCCCGCUGUUCUGACGGUACCCAAAGAAUAAGCACCGGCUAACUUCGUG